UUAUUGGAGAGUUUGAUCCUGGCUCAGGACGAACGCUGGCGGCGUGCUUAACACAUGCAAGUCGAGCGGUAAGGCCCUUCGGGGUACACGAGCGGCGAACGGGUGAGUAACACGUGGGUAACCUGCCCUGUACUCUGGGAUAAGCCUUGGAAACGAGGUCUAAUACCGGAUAUGACACU
rfam:Lentzea albidocapillata strain DSM 44073 genome assembly, contig: LX89DRAFT_scaffold00016.16